rnacentral:rRNA from 1 species
UACGUAGGGGGCAAGCGUUGUCCGGAUUUAUUGGGCGUAAAGAGCGUGUAGGCGGUUAGGUAGGUCCGUUGUGAAAACUCGAGGCUCAACCUCGAGAUGUCGGCGGAAACCCUCUGGCUAGAGUCCGGAAGAGGAGAGUGGAAUUCCCGGUGUAGCGGUGAAAUGCGCAGAUAUCGGGAAGAACACCCGUGGCGAAGGCGGCUCUCUGGGACGGUACUGACGCUGAGACGCGAAAGCGUGGGGAGCGAACAGG